rnacentral:rRNA from 1 species
UACGUAGGGGGCAAGCGUUUGUCCGGAAUCAUUGGGCGUAAAGCGCGCGUAGGCGGCUAGAUCAGUCUGCUGUAAAAGUCAAAGGCUCAACCUUUGAAAGCCGGUGGAUACUGUCUAGCUAGAGUCCGGAAGAGGCGAGUGAAUUCCUGGUGUAGCGGUGGAAUGCGUAGAUAUCGGAGGAACACCGGUGGCGAGGCGGCAUCCUGGCCGACACUACGCUGAGGCGCGAAAGCUAGGGGUAGCAAACGGG